rnacentral:tRNA from 1 species
AGAAACUUAAGUUAUACCAAACUAGAGACCUUCAAAGCCUCAAAUAAAGACCCCUUUAGUUUCUG